rnacentral:lncRNA from 1 species
UGGAGACAGAAACAUAAACCUUUUACCUUGUCAUAAGUAGACAUUAUUGCAAAUUAUUAAAUCCUUCUAUUGGAAGGAUUCUAUCUGCAAUUAUGUCUCGUUAUGGUGCACACCUAUCACCAUCGUUACGUGCACCUGCGCAUCAUAAGACUCACCUGGACUCCAUCACUUCCCUGAUUACCUUCCCUAUAUAUGUCACUCCCUUUGGUUCCUUCCCCAGGCGUCAUUGUUUCUGUUUCAGUUUCAUGUCUGUGUGCUGGUAGUGCUUCUUGUUUUGUAUUAUAGUCUGUUUAUUUUAUUAAAACACUCACUCCCUAAACUUGAUUCCCGACUCUCAGCGCAUAUCGUUACAGAAUGACCUCUCACCUAAGGGAAGCACCAGGGAGUGUUUUUUUUGUGGUGGGAAUGAUGUCGGAGGCACUACAGGCUCUCAUGCCUUAGACAGAUCGCCAGGCUCCCCUGCCUCUGCCGGUUUGUCAGGCUCUCAUGUGUCAGCUGGAUCGCCAGGUUCCCCUGCUACAGCCGGCUCGUCAGGCUUUCAUGCCUUCACCGGAUCACCAGGCUGCUCUGUUUCCACCAGCUCGUCAGGCUCUCAUGCCUCAGCCGGAUCGCCAGGCUCACCUGCCUCAGCCGGUCUGUUAGUUUCCCGCGCCCCAGCCGGCGACAGAUUCCGCGCAUCAGCAGGGGUGACCGGUCUGCUCCUGAUCCCCAGGAUCGUCCCUUUGCUUGGUGUCCUGCGGCUGGAGCCGAACUCGCCGGGGAGUGGGUACCGUCAUCUAUGCUCUCUCCUGCGCUCUAGGUCGCCAUGCUCUCGCGUCUCAGCUGGACUGAACGGUUUCCCGCGCCUCAGCAGAGGUGAUCGGUCCACUCCUGAUCCCUGGGAUCAUCAUUUUUGUCGGCGUCCUGCGGCUAGCGCCGCGCGUCUGGGAGGGGGUUCUGUCACGGGUGCUCCCUCGAACUCUAGGUCACCAGGCUUCUCGUUAUGGCUAACACCUGUCACCAUAGUUACGCGCACCUGCGCAUCGUCAGACUCACCUGGACUCCAUCACUUCCCUGAUUACCUUCCCUAUAUAUGUCACUCCCUUUGGUCCCUUCCCCAGGCAUCAUUGUUUCUGUUUCUAUUUCAUGUCUGUGCAUUGUUCGAGGUUCUUGUUUAGUAUUAUGUUCCCUUCAUUUUAUUAAAUUUUCACUCCCU